UACGUAGGGGGCAAGCGUUGUCCGGAAUCAUUGGGCGUAAAGCGCGCGUAGGCGGCCCGGUAAGUCCGCUGUAAAAGUCCAGGGCUCAACCCUGGAAAGCCGGUGGAUACUGUCGGGCUAGAGUCCGGAAGAGGCGAGUGGAAUUCCUGGUGUAGCGGUGGAAUGCGCAGAUAUCAGGAGGAACACCGAUGGCGAAGGCAGCUC
rnacentral:rRNA from 1 species